UACAGAGGGUGCGAGCGUUAAUCGGAAUUACUGGGCGUAAAGCGUGCGUAGACGGUUAUUUAAGUCGGAUGUGAAAGCCCCGGGCUCAACCUGGGAAUUGCAUUCGAGACUGAAUAGCUAGGGUACGGUAGAGGGAAGUGGAAUUUCCGGUGUAGCGGUGAAAUGCGUAGAUAUUAGGAGGAACACCAGUGGCGAAGGCGGCUUACUGGACUGUAACUGACGUUGAGGCUCGAAAGCGUGGGGAGCAAACAGG
rnacentral:rRNA from 1 species